UCGUCAGCUCGUGUUGUGAAAUGUUGGGUUAAGUCCGCAACGAGCGCAACCCCUAUCCUUAUUUGCCAGCGCGUAAUGGCGGGAACUCUAAGGAGACUGCCGGUGAUAAACCGGAGGAAGGUGGGGACGACGUCAAGUCGUCAUGGCCUUACGGGAUGGGCUACACACGUGCUACAAUGGCAGGUACAGAGGGCAGCGAGACCGCGAGGUGGAGCGAAUCCCAGAAAGCUUGUCGUAGUCCGGAUUGGAGUCUGCAACUCGACUCCAUGAAGUUGGAAUCGCUAGUAAUCGUAGAUCAGAAUGCUAC
rnacentral:rRNA from 1 species